AGAUUGAACGCUGGCGGCAGGCCUAACACAUGCAAGUCGAGCGGCAGCACGGGUACUUGUACCUGGUGGCGAGCGGCGGACGGGUGAGUAAUGCCUAGGAAUCUGCCUGGUAGUGGGGGAUAACGCUCGGAAACGGACGCUAAUACCGCAUACGUCCUACGGGAGAAAGCAGGGGACCUUCGGGCCUUGCGCUAUCAGAUGAGCCUAGGUCGGAUUAGCUAGUUGGUGGGGUAAUGGCUCACCCAAGGCGACGAUCCGUAACUGGUCUGAGAGGAUGAUCAGUCACACUGGAACUGAGACACGGUCCAGACUCCGUACGGGA
rnacentral:rRNA from 1 species